GGUGAGAAUCCCGUCCACCGAUUGACUAAGGUUUCCAGAGGAAGGCUCGUCCGCUCUGGGUUAGUCGGGUCCUAAGCUGAGGCCGACAGGCGUAGGCGAUGGAUAACAGGUUGAUAUUCCUGUACCACCUAGUAUCGUUUUAAUCGAUGGGGGGACGCAGUAGGAUAGGCGAAGCGUGCUGUUGGAGUGCACGUCCAAGCAGUAAGGCUGAGUGUUAGGCAAAUCCGGCACUCAUAAGGCUGAGCUGUGAUGGGG
rnacentral:rRNA from 1 species